rnacentral:sRNA from 1 species
GCGGCAAGGUCUGGGUGCUUGCUUCACGCCGCCAAACCCCCAGUCCCGCCGCCCAAAGAAAACACCCGCCUCCUGCGAGGCGGGUGUUUCAAAUC